GUUUUUCGGCAUUAUUGCGGCGUAAGGGCUCGCAGGCGGUUUCUUAAGUCUGAUGUGAAAGCCCCCGGCUCAACCGGGGAGGGUCAUUGGAAACUGGGGAACUUGAGUGCAGAAGAGGAGAGUGGAAUUCCACGUGUAGCGGUGAAAUGCGUAGAGAUGUGGAGGAACACCAGUGGCGAAGGCGACUCUCUGGUCUGUAACUGACGCUGAGGAGCGAAAGCGUGGGGAGCGAACAGGAUUAGAUACCCUGGUAGUCCACGCCGUAAACGAUGAGUGCUAAGUGUUAGGGGGUUUCCGCCCCUUAGUGCUGCAGCUAACGCAUUAAGCACUCCGCCUGGGGAGUACGGUCGCAAGACUGAAACUCAAAGGAAUUGACGGGGGCCCGCACAAGCGGUGGAGCAUGUGGUUUAAUUCGAAGCAACGCGAAGAACCUUACCAGGUCUUGACAUCCUCUGACAAUCCUAGAGAUAGGACGUCCCCUUCGGGGGCAGAGUGACAGGUGGUGCAUGGUUGUCGUCAGCUCGUGUCGUGAGAUGUUGGGUUAAGUCCCGCAACGAGCGCAACCCUUGAUCUUAGUUGCCAGCAUUCAGUUGGGCACUCUAAGGUGACUGCCGGUGACAAACCGGAGGAAGGUGGGGAUGACGUCAAAUCAUCAUGCCCCUUAUGACCUGGGCUACACACGUGCUACAAUGGACAGAACAAAGGGCAGCGAAACCGCGAGGUUAAGCCAAUCCCACAAAUCUGUUCUCAGUUCGGAUCGCAGUCUGCAACUCGACUGCGUGAAGCUGGAAUCGCUAGUAAUCGCGGAUCAGCAUGCCCGGUGGAAUACCUUUCCCGGGGCCUUGUACACACCGCCCGUCACACCACGAGAGUUUGUAACACCCGAAGUCGGUGAGGUAACCUUUUAGGAGCCAGCCGCCGAAGGUGGGACAGAUGAUUGGGGUG
rnacentral:rRNA from 1 species